rnacentral:rRNA from 1 species
GAUGAACGCUGGCGGCGUGCCUAAUACAUGCAAGUCGAGCGAACGGACGAGAAGCUUGCUUCUCUGAUGUUAGCGGCGGACGGGUGAGUAACACGUGGAUAACCUACCUAUAAGACUGGGAUAACUUCGGGAAACCGUAGCUAAUACCGGAUAAUAUUUUGAACCGCAUGGUUCAAACGUGAAAGACGGUCUUGCUGUCACUUAUAGAUGGAUCCGCGCUGCAUUAGCUAGUUGGUAAGGUAACGGCUUACCAAGGCAACGAUGCAUAGCCGACCUGAGAGGGUGAUCGGCCACACUGGAACUGAGACACGGUCCAGACUCCUACGGGAGGCAGCAGUAGGGAAUCUUCCGCAAAGGGCGAAAGCCUGACGGAGCAACGCCGCGUGAGUGAUGAAGGUCUUCGGAUCGUAAAACUCUGUUAUUAGGGAAGAACAUAUGUGUAAGUACCUGUGCACAUCUUGACGGUACCUAAUCAGAAAGCCACGGCUAACUACGUG